AUGAACGCUGGCGGCGUGCCUAAUACAUGCAAGUCGAGCGAACAGACGAGGAGCUUGCUCCUCUGACGUUAGCGGCGGACGGGUGAGUAACACGUGGAUAACCUACCUAUAAGACUGGGAUAACUUCGGGAAACCGGAGCUAAUACCGGAUAAUAUAUUGAACCGCAUGGUUCAAUAGUGAAAGACGGUUUUGCUGUCACUUAUAGAUGGAUCCGCGCCGCAUUAGCUAGUUGGUAAGGUAACGGCUUACCAAGGCGACGAUGCGUAGCCGACCUGAGAGGGUGAUCGGCCACACUGGAACUGAGACACGGUCCAGACUCCUACGGGAGGCAGCAGUAGGGAAUCUUCCGCAAUGGGCGAAAGCCUGACGGAGCAACGCCGCGUGAGUGAUGAAGGUCUUCGGAUCGUAGAACUCUGUUAUUAGGGAAGAACAAAUGUGUAAGUAACUAUGCACGUCUUGACGGUACCUAAUCAGAAAGCCACGGCUAACUACGUG
rnacentral:rRNA from 1 species